CGGGUGAGUAAUACAUCGGAACGUGUCUUCUAGUGGGGGAUAACUGCCCGAAAGGGCAGCUAAUACCGCAUGAGACCUGAGGGUGAAAGCGGGGGAUCGCAAGACCUCGCGCUGGAAGAGCGGCCGAUGUCCGAUUAGCUAGUUGGUGAGGUAAAGGCUCACCAAGGCGACGAUCGGUAGCUGGUCUGAGAGGACGACCAGCCACACUGGGACUGAGACACGGCCCAG
rnacentral:rRNA from 1 species